rnacentral:lncRNA from 10 species
GGGCACGGCUACCUAGAAGUGCUCUGUGUGAAACCUACCGGGAGGAAGGAUCAGCUUCGUUUCAUUUCUUCAGAUUAGAAAUUUUUUUUUCCUUAUGGCUGCAGCCUUUAGAGGAGUCCACAGUAAUCGCCUUUUGUCCUCUCAGAAAAUCUGUGGAUAAGACAACAGGCACAUCAUCUUUCUCACAACUUACCACUGAGGAAACGGUACAGAGAGGAAGAAAAAAAGCAUCCCAGAAAGGCAAUCUAGAUCACUCAGUGACUACCGCCUAGCACCUCCAGGAACAGAGGCAAAAGUUGAAAGCAGGGUGUGUCCCCAGGACAUCCCUGCAACUCACCCUUUCUCCUCUGCUUCCAGAAACAUCCAAGCAAUGCCUCUAGGGCUAGUCAUAGACUUAAUCUUGUCUGCCUGGGUCCUUAAGAUCUCAGAUAGAAUCCUGUAAGCUAUUCUUGCUAACCCUAUACCUCGGGAGCAGCCUAGCAAUGUGAAAUGAACAUGGGCUUUGGGGCCGAAUGAACCUCACCCAGAGCCUGGUUCUGCUACUCAGUAGCUCCAUUAUUUGACCUUGGCAAUGACAACUUCUAUAAGCCUCAGUAAAUUUACAUACAAAGCAGAGAGAAUACUUUCAACUAUAAAAAAUGCGUGUAAAGAGAAGAGUCUUCUUCCUCACCAAUCCAAUACCCUUCCCAGACUUGUAUUAAUAAUGCUUUGGUUCAAAUACCUCCAGAUUUUCCCUAGGCUUAUACUGACACAAAUAUGUAUAGAUAUAGAUACACAUGCAUAUUUUCACAAGCUACAUAUUACUGUACAUAUUGAUCUGACACUUGCUUUGUUUCUAUUCAACAAUAUGUGUAUAUCAUUUCAAGUCAACACAGAUAAAAUAUUGUACUAU